rnacentral:rRNA from 1 species
UAUUAUUUACUUAUAAAAAUAAUUCUUGAGAAUUAAUUAAUAUUAAUAUAAAUUUAAAAAAUUUGGUAGUAUUUUAUUAAAAUUAGAGGAUCUUGUUCAGUAAUUGAUAAUACACAUUAUAAAAAACUUAAUUUAUAUUAAUUUAUGUAUUGUUAUCAUAAAAAUAUCUUUAAAAAGUAUUUUUAAUAUUAAUUUUUAUUAAUAAUGUUAAAUCAAAAUAUAGUUUAUAGUUAAGGUUGAAAUGAGAUACAAUAAAUUUAUUUAUACUUAAAAUAUAUUUUAAUAUUAAUAAUAAGGUGGAUUUAAUAGUAAAUUUAAUUAAAUUAUUAAGUUGAAUUAAUUAUAAAAUAUGCACAUAUUGCCCGUCACUUU